CAGCCGCCGCGGUAAUACCGGCGGCCCGAGUGGCGGUCACUAUUAUUGGGCUUAAAGCGUCCGUAGCCGGGUUGGGAAGUCCUCCGGGAAAUCUGGCCGCUUAACGGUCAGAAUGCCGGAGGAUACUCCCAGCCUAGGGAGCGGGAGAGGCCGAGGGUAUUCCCGGGGUAGGGGUGAAAUCCUAUAAUCCCGGGAGGACCACCUGUGGCGAAGGCGCUCGGCUGGAACGCGUCCGACGGUGAGGGACGAAGGCCAGGGGAGCAAACCGGAUUAGAUACCCGGGUAGUCCUGGCUGUAAACGAUGCGGACUUUGUGUCGGACAAGCUAUGAGCUUGUCCGGUGCCGGAGGGAAACCGUUAAGUCCGCCGCCUGGGGAGUACGGCCGCAAGGCUGAAACUUAAAGGAAUUGGCGGG
rnacentral:rRNA from 1 species